GAUAGGCUAGAGCGUUUCAGGAAAACCCAGUGCGCGUGAAUAUGAGAGCAUCACAAAUAGUUCUGAGAGUUGCGCAUGUUGAAGUUUCUCUUCUGAAAUGGUAUUUGUCAUGAGUGCCUUUUAACUUCUUAUGUACCCUUUCCUGCCGCUCAAACCAACUGUUCCUUAUUGACUUCAAGUUCUUUGAUCUGCCCUACAAAGUGCUUUUUUCCCGAGUUUACAGAAAGUAAACGGAUUGUUUCAAGUGGUGCUAUUGUUUACAUAAUUUUGACGAUUCAAGAUAGCGGACCGAUCUGCUGAGGGGCGUAUUUCAUUGGGAAGCUGAACGAUCUCGGUCGGAUUGGAAUGAGACAAAUGACAGACGAAAAUGAAUUGAAUGAACUGAUUAUUGACUAUUUCGAUGCAAGACCUAUUGAUUCUGGAGACGGUAGUUGGGAGGAGGAGACACAUGAUGAACCAAUGACGACGACGGCAGUGGCCGUGACACACCCACACCCACACCCCCCGGCGAUUGUGUAGAUUUCCGCGUUAAAUUCCGAUACUAGUUUUAAUCGGCCUAUAAGCUCUAGAACUUACCAUUAAACAGAGUCAAUCCAAAAAUGAAAUCCAAUACAGAAUAUUGCCAAAAAUGUUUUCCUUAAAUGUUGCUUCCACAUAUAUAUUCUUGUAAAUAUGAAUAAAAGAGUUUGUCAGAUGUCCCGUAUAGUAUCGGAAUUUAACGCGGAAAUCUACACAAUCGCCCACCCCCCUGCCCCCUUCUCAUGAUAUCGAACUUCAUGAAGAAGUCCUGGUUCCUGUUCAACCAGUUGACGUAACAUCAUCAGAAGGUUAUAGGUGCAAUUGCUGGCCCAGGACCUUCGCAGUGAAGCAGAUCCAGAGUCCCUGACAGCUGCUCUACAACAAGGUGAUGCUGACCAGUCCAGUAUUGCUGAAGACGAGGAUGCUGCCUUAGGGGUGACCUUCACGGAGAACGUGACGUGACAGCCUUUGUGGUGCCAGAAGGUAAGGGUGUGGAGCUGCCAGCUUUGAAGGGCCUGAAGUGCUGCUACAAGCUCAAUGAUGGCCAGCCUUGCCACAGCCAGUUGGAAUCAGCUGCUGUUGACGACCUACGUUUGUCUUUUGCUGGUAUGACAAGGGAGGAGCAUGACAUUGUAGUGUUGUCUCAGAUUUGCUGUGGCAGGCAUGUGGGAGGCACUAUUAAACAUUCUAGAAAAAUCAAAGACCGACAAGCGACAAGGACUACUUGUUAUUUGUCUGGAAUGUGAUUUGUAGGGAAUUUUUAAAAAUAUGUUCACAAUAUGGGCCAAGAUAAGUUGAAUGCCCUUAUUGCCCACUUUAAGGCUGCUGGAAUUGAGGCCAAGCAACAUGAAUCAUAAAGAGGGCCCCAAAACAUGCUCUGUCUUUUGAAGAUACAAAAGCUGUGGUAGACUUCAUUGUCAACUUUGCUGAGCUCCAUGCUAUUGUGAUUCCAGGACGUCAGCCUGGCCACUGGAACACCAGUGUCAAACUGCUUCCUACAAAUGUAAGGAAGAAGAAGGUGUAUGAUGCUUACUGUGCCUCUGCUGCUGUCAGUGACAGACGCAUUGUAAGCUGGCAGACCUUCAAUCGUUUAUAUGGAAGCAGUUGACACCGUUUGUCUCAACCAUGCGCCCUGCAACUGAUCUUUGUUGGUUUUGUAAGAAGAAUUCAGGUCACCUCUUGCGUACAGCCAAUCUGCCUGAUGCGGAAAAAAGCCAAGCAGUUUUGGAAAUGCAAGAUCAUUUAGAAAAGGCUUCUAUAGAACGCUCCUAUUAUCAGCAGGUUUGUGAAGCCGUUAAAAAUAGUUUGCCAGCUGGUACCACUCUUGGUCAAGAAGAUAGGAGGAGCUGUUCUUUUGAUGGGAUGUCCCAUUAUAGCUUUGAUUUUGCACAACGAGUGCACUACCCGAGCAACCCAUUGCAGCCGGGUCCGAUAUUUUUCCAAACUCCAAGGAAGUGUGGCUUGUUUGGAGUAGCCUGUGAGGCAAUACCUUGUCAGGUAAAUUUUCUUUAAGAAGAAUGUGUUUUAGCAGGUAAAGGUGCCAACUGUGUUGUGUCUCUUCUUCAUUAUUUUUUUGGACAAUUUUGGCUUAGGAGAGAACCAUGUCCAUCUGCAUGCUGAUAACUGCAGUGGACAAAAUAAAAAUAACUGCAUGAUGCAGUAUCUUGUGUGGAGAGUCCUCACAGGAAGACACAUGAAUAUUAAACUGUCAUUUCUUUGGACAGGACACACAAAGUUCAGUUGUGACUGGUGUUUUGGUCUUGUCAAACGCAGGUUUCGAGUGACCAAAGUUGACUGCCUGGAAGACAUUGCUAAUGUUGUCAAUGAGUCUGCCACAUGCAAUGUCGCACAGUUAUGUGAAACUGAGACAGGGGAUGUUUUAGUGCCGGUAUAUGACUGAACCAAAUUUCUCGGAAUGUUUUUUAGAAAAAUGAUUGGAAUUAAAAAAUAUCAACAUUUUCAGUUCCAGCAUGACAGCACAUCGGUAAAAUGUAAACAAUUUGUUGAUUCUGAUCCAAUUGAUUUUGUUUAUUGUCCAAAGCUCUUGAUUUAAUUUAAUGCCAGAAAUUGUUGUUCCUGCUGGACUUGAUCCAUCAAGGCAGUGGUAUUUGUAUGAUGAAAUCAGACCUUUUGUUAGUGAAGAGAUGAAAGACAGAGUGACCCCUCUUCCAAAAUGCCGAAAGCCUACCCAAGUGAGCAUGCUUGAACAUGACAGUGAUGAGGAAGAGGGUCCAUCAGAGCCGAAAGCCAGGAAGGGGGGAAAGGGGAAAGGGGUAUCGACCAUGGGCACGGGGAAGACAAUGUAGGGUAUUUUUGUUGAAGUUUUAAAGAUUCAUUGCGUACUCUAUUUAAAUUUCAACAUGAUUUUAUUUCUAUUCUUCUGACUAUAACUGGUCAUUGGACUUGCUGUGGUGAAUUGAUAACUUUCCUAAUUUUGUUGUAUUGUAUGUUGGUUGUGAAGAUGUGUUUUGGCAGCUUUGAUCAGAAGUUUCCUGUUUCUGUCGGUUGUCAUUUCCUUUGUUUUAGUGUAGGUGUUUUUGCACACCCGUGGACACAGGUAGGAUAGUUUAGGAGGUGUGUUUAGGAGGUGUGUUUAGGAGGUGUGUUUAGGAGGUGUGUUUAGGAGGUGUGUUUCAACCUUGUCUGUCUGGGACAAAGUGGUUACUGGUUGUUUUGAUAUAUGUAAAUAUGCUAUUCUAUACUGUUUUGGUUUUUUUCGAUGAAAGCAGGUCUAUAUAAUUAAUAUAUUUCGUGUGUAUGCAUGGAAAUGUAAAAAUGUCAACGGAUUUCUGUUGGAAAAAUCUUGUGGACAAGAAGUACAAAUAAAUUAUGUGUUUUAUGUUCUAAAAUCA